GCUUGUCUCAAAGAUUAAGCCAUGCAUGUCUAAGUGUAAAUACGUCUACACUGUGAAACUGCGAAUGGCUCAUUAAAUCAGUUAUCGUUUAUUUGAUGAUCUCUUGUUACAUGGAUAACCGUAGUAAUUCUAGAGCUAAUACAUGCAUGAACCCCCGACUUUUGAAGGGGUGUAUUUAUUAGAUUGAAACCAAUGCGGGUUCCCCGGUAUUUGGUGAUUCAUAAUAACUUUCGGAUCGACUUCGGUCGAUGCAUCAUUCAAGUUUCUGCCCUAUCAGCUUUCGAUGGUAGUGUAUUGGACUACCAUGGCAGUAACGGGUAACGAAGAAUUAGGGUUCGAUUUCGGAGAGGGAGCAUGAGAAACGGCUACCACAUCUAAGGAAGGCAGCAGG
rnacentral:rRNA from 1 species